rnacentral:misc_RNA from 1 species
GGGCAAGAUUUAAAAACAGAAAGACUGGUUUAGAAGGAAAGAGAACAUAACAGGACAUAGCAAAACAGAGUUGUUAAAAAGAGCAGAUUGAUUACCUACAAAGUAUUGGAGCUUUUCCCCCUACUUUCUAUAUCCGUUUUGGCUUGUGGGUUGCUGACAUUGAUCCAUUAAUUCAGCGAAAAGGGUGGACUCAAGAAGGGGAAAAAAAGUGUGGAAGAGAGAGGAGUGGUUUAAAGUAGAAUUGCGGAGCUUGCUUUGUGCAAAUUGAGGAGGUGGGUGAGGGUAGUAGGUGAGAAUCAAGAGAGGAGAAGAUGUAGAAGAACAGCAGGAUGGCAAUGAUGAUUUUGUAGUUGUUCUUUUUGUAAUUUUCACAUGCUUCUCUUUCUAUGAGGGGUGGGUAGGGGAUUGGGAUUUUUGGAAGGCUUGGCUUGGCUUUACUUGACAUUGCAUCUUCCACUUCCAAUGACUUAAAUUGCUCCACUGAGGUAAUUGGAGGUCCC